GACAGAGGUGCCAAGCGUUAGGCGGAAUCACUGGGCUUAAAGCGUGUGUAGGCGGAAUGGUAAGUACCUUGUGAAAUCCCACGGCUCAACCGUGGAACUGCCUCGGAUACUGGCGGUCUCGAGGGAGGUAGAGGCAUGCGGAACUGUGGGUGGAGCGGUGAAAUGCGUUGAUAUCCACAGGAACUCCGGUGGCGAAAGCGGCGUGCUGGACCUCUUCUGACG
rnacentral:rRNA from 1 species